GACGAACGCUGGCGGCGUGCUUAACACAUGCAAGUCGUACGACAGCAUUUCCUUUUAGGUUGUGUUUGGAGUGGCGAACGGGUGAGUAACACGUGAGUGACCUGCCCUUCACUUUGGGAUAACGUGCGGAAACGUGCGCUAAUACCAAAUAUUCGCAUUUCUGCUGCAUGGUGGGGUGUGGAAAGGGGCCUUCGGGUUCCGGUGGGGAGUGGGCGUCGCGGCCUAUCAGCUUGNGGUGGGGUGGAUGGCCUACCAAGGCGACGACGGGUAGCCGGCCUGAGAGGGCGACCGGCCACACUGGGACUGAGACACGGCCCAGACUCCUACGGGAGGCAGCAGUGGGGAAUCUUGCGCAAUGGGCGAAAGCCUGACGCAGCGACGCCGCGUGA
rnacentral:rRNA from 1 species